rnacentral:misc_RNA from 1 species
UACGUAGGGUGCAAGCAUUAAUCGGAUUUAUUGGGCGUAAAGGGCGCGUAGGCGGAAAUGCCAGUCAGAUGUGAAAUCCCGGGGCUCAACCCCGGAACAGCAUUUGAAACUACAUUUCUAGAGGGUAGGCGGAGAAAACGGAAUUCCACAAGUAGCGGUGAAAUGCGUAGAUAUGUGGAAGAACACCAGUGGCGAAGGCGGUUUUCUAGCUUAUACCUGACGCUGAUGCGCGAAAGCAAGGGGAGCAAACAGG